UAUUAAACAGGUAGAUGGUGCAAAGUGUUUGUGGAAGAUUAAAAGCCACUUAGAAUCUACCAUUUACACUUAAGAUCUGCAUUUGCACAAAUUCUUCCAUCAUUGCCAGCUGAUUCAGUCAGGCUCGAAAGAAGUUCUGGGGAGCUCAUUAAAUACUUAAAGUCUUUGCAUGCCAUGGAGAUCCAAGUCAUGAUACAGUUUCUAACUGUAAUUCUUAGGCAACUCUUCUGAGUUCUCACAAAUAUGAUCCAUGAAGAUGAUGUUCCUAUCAACUGCACCAUGGUUCUCUUACAUAUUGUAUCAAAGUGCCAUGAAGAAGGCUUGGAUAGUUAUUUAAGAUCAUUCAUAAAGUAUUGCUUCGGACCUGAAAAACCAAGUGCGUCUUAGGCUCAGCUGAUACGUAAAACCCUGGCUGCUACGAUGAUAGCACUAUUGAAACAGUCUGCAGAUUUUUUAGCAAUAAACACAUUGCUAAAGUACUCAUGGUUUUUCUUUGAAAUAAUUGCAAAGUUGAUGGCCACAUACUUGUUGAAAGAGAGUAAGAUUAAGCUUCCCCGAGGCCAGAGAUUUCCUGAGGCAUAUCAUCAUGCCUUACAUUCACUGCUUCUUGCAAUAACCAUGUGACUAUUCUGUAUGCGGAGAUUCCCAAUGAGUCCAGAAAUGUGAAUUACAGUUUGACUAGCUUCCUGAAGUGCUGUUUGACACUAAUGGAUAGAGGAUUUGUUUUCAAUUUGACUAUAUAUCUGGAUUCAGCCCCAAAGAUCCUAAUGUUCUGGCUGAAUACAAGUUUGAAUUUCUGCAAACAAUCUGCAAUCACGAACAUUACAUUCCUCUGAAUUUGCCAAUGGCAUUUGCAAAACCUAAACUGUAUUCAAGAUUCUUGAUUCUUGAAUACAGUUUAUCAGAUGAGUAUUGCAAGCAUCACUUCUUGUUUGGUCUACUUCUGAGGGAAACUUCCAUUGCUCUUCAGGACAAUUAUGAGAUCAGAUAUACAGCUAUCUCUGUCAUAAAGAACAUUUUGAUAAAACAUGCAUUUGACACAAGAUACCAGCACAAGAACCAACAAGCCAAAAUAGCACAAUUGUACCUCCCCUUUGUUGGAGUGCUUUUGGAAAAUAUACAGCGAUUAACAGGUCAAGCUACCUUGUAUUCUUGUGCAGCUAUGCCUAAUUCUACAUCCAGAGAUGAGUUUCCAUAUGGCUUUACUUCACCUGACAAUAGAGGGAGUCUGAGCACUGACAAAGGCACUGCUUAUGGGUCUUUUCAAAAUGGACAUGGAAUUAAGAGAGAAGAUUCAAGAGGUUUCCUUAUCCCAGAAGGAGCAACAGGAUUUCCAGAUCGGGAAACUUCCAGCUGGUGAAAAUACCCGACAGAGUUCUACAAGGAGUAGCGUAUCCCAGUAUAACUGCCUGGAUCAGUAUGAAAUCAGAAGCCUCUUGAUGUGCUACCUGUAUAUAGUAAAAGUGAUUUCGGAAGAUACUCUCUUAACUUACUGGAAUAAAGUAUCUCUUCAGGAGAUCAUACACAUUUUUAUACUUUUAGAAGUAUGCUUGUUUCACUUUAGAUAUAUGGGGAAAAGAAACAUAGCAAGGUGCAUGAUGCCUGGCUGUCAAAACACUUCAGAAUAGACCAAAAAUCACAAACCAUGCCUGCCCUUUGAAACAGAUCAGGGAUAAUGCAGACCCGGCUUCAGCAUCUUAGUAGCCUAGAAAGUUCAUUUACACUUAAUCACAGUUCUAGAACAACUGAACAGACAUUUUCCACCACGAACUUCUUGAAGGCAAUACAGCUACUGAAAUUUCCCUAACAGUACUAGAUACCAUGUCAUUUUCCAUCAGGGCUUCAAGACCCAACUUUUAAAUAAUGAUGAUCACAACCCAUUAAUGAAAAAGAUGUUUGAUAUUCAUCUUGCUUUUCUUAAAAAUGGACAAUCUGAAGUGUUGCUGAAACAUGUAUUUGCCUCACUGAGAGCUUUCAUCAGUAAGUUUCCUUCAGACUUUUUCAAAGGAAGAGUAAACAUGUGUGCUGCAUUUUGCUAUGAGGUUUUAAAGUGCUGCACAUUGAAGAUUAACUCAACCAGAAAUGAAACAUCUGCAUUUUUGUAUCUUUUGUUGAGAAACAACUUUGAGUAUACCAAAAGGAAGACCGUUUAGAGGACACAUCUAUAGAUAAUAAUUUCUGUAAGCCACCUGAUAGCUGAUGUAACACUAAGUGGAAGAUCAAGAUUUCAGGAGUCUUUAUUCAUUAUCAAUAAUUUUGCAAAUAGUGACAGACCUAUGAAAGCAACUGCCUUUCCCACAUAAGUCAAAGACUUGACCAAGAGAAUCUGCAUUGUUCUUAUGGCCACUGCCCAAAUGAAGGAGCAUGAGAAAGACCCUGAAAUGUGAAUUGAUCUCCACUGUAGCUUAACCAAGUCCUAUGCAGGUAUCCCAGAGCUCAGGAAAACCUGACUUGAUAGCAUGGCCAACAUUCAUGUAAAAAAUGGAGAUUUUUCAGAGGCUGCAAUGUGUUAUGUCCAUGUAGCAGCUCUAGUUGCAGAGUUUCUUCAUUUAAAAAAAAUUUUUUAACGAAUGUUCACCCUUCAAGAAAAUUACUCCCAAUAUAGAUGAAGAAGGAGCAAUGAAAGAAGAUGCUGGGAUGAUGGAUGUCCAUUAUAGUGAAGAAGUCUUGCUGGAGUUGCUAGAACAAUGUGUGGAUAGCUUAUGGAAGGUGAAACUUUAUGAAAUAAUUUCUGAGAUUUCCAAGUUGAUCAUUCCAAUUUAUGAGAAAAAUCAUGGGUUUAAGAAACGUACUCAAGUUUAUAGAACUCUUCAUGGAGCUUACACAAAAAUUCUGGAAGUUAUGCAUACAAAAAAAAAAUAAAAAGACUUUUAGGCACUUUCUUCAGGGUUGCCUUUAUGGCCAGUCUUUUUUUGAAGAAGAAGAUGGAACAUCUUUACAUCUAUAAAGAACCAAAGCUCACUGGCCUCUCAGAAAUUUCCCUGAGACUUGUUAAACUUUAUGGUGAAAAAUUUGGUAUGGAGAAUGUCAAAAUAAUUCAAGAUACAGACAAGGUAAAUGCCAAAGAGCUUGAUCCAAAAUAUGCUCACAAGCAAGUUACUUAUGUGAAGCCUUAUUUUGAUGACAAAGAACUCACAGAAAGAAAGACUGAGUUUGAAAAAUCAUAGUAUCAGCAGAUUUGUUUUUGUGGCUCCUUAGACUUUUUCAGGCAAAAAGCAGGGUUGUACGGAAGAACAGUGCAAUGCCGUAAAAUCUUGACAACUUCAAACUCAUUUCCCUAUGUAAAGAAGAGGAUCCCUAUUAACUGUAAACAGCAGAUUAAUUUAAAACCAAUUGAUGUUGCCACUGAUGAAAUAAAAGAUAAAACUGCAGAUUCUUCAAACGCUUUGCUCCUCGGUUGACAUGGACAUGAUUCAGCUCCAACUUAAAUUGCAGGGCUGUGUUUCCCUGCAGGUCAAUGCAGGUCCAUUAGCAUAAGCAAGGGCUUUCUUAAAUGACAGCCAAGCUAGCAAGUAUCCAUCUAAGAAAGUGAGUGAGUUGAAAGACAUGUUUAGGAAAUUCAUACAAGCAUGUAGCAUUGCACUUGAACUAAAUGAGUGGCUAAUUAAAGAAGAUCAAGUUGUUGAGUACCAUGAAAGGCUAAAGUCAAAUUUCAGAAACAUAAUAAAAGAAUUGACAUUAUCCACGAGCAGAUAUUACAACAAGACACAAUGCAUUCUCCCUGGAUUAGCAACACAUUACAUAUAUUUUGUGCAAUUAGUGGUACAUCGAGUAACCGAGGUUAUGGUUCCCCAAGAUACACUGAAGUGUGAAAAAAUGCAGAGGUAAAUGACAGUAAGACUGACCU